rnacentral:lncRNA from 1 species
CCAUUCUCAUUUAUGCAUGAAGUGGUCACUUUAUCUAGUUACAAAAUCAUGCAUUUUACCUUCAGUUUAAAUCUUUAUAAUGAAUAUCUUUUGAAUCAUACAAAUAUGAAUAUUUCUAUAUUUUGUGUAAUUAAUCAUUCUUCUAUACAAAUACCAUUCAUUCUUUCAGCUCCAUUAUUUGAAAACAGAACCUUUUUGAUUGGCUAUUUCACAAACAAUCUGUUUUUAACAUGACACUGACAUGAAAAGAUAAAAUGAACCAAUUCGAGUGACAGCAAUGCAGCAGUUUUAUAACAUCAUUCAUGUUUGAACUUGCUAUUGGUUGCUGUGUCUGUAACAUAUCACUACAGCAUAAAUGGGAACAAGCCUUUAGAGACAAAAGGAAGCAACUGAUGAUAGUAAAUUGAAAAAUGAACUACAAAACUAAUCACAAGAAAAUUUUUUUUUCCAUUUAAUGGAAGUGAUUUUUACACAAAGCAUGUAAAACCAAAGAUUUCAAAAAUAAAAAUAAUAAUUGUACACAAAUGCA